rnacentral:lncRNA from 1 species
CUCCUGCGUCCUGAUAAUGGCUGCAAUAAGUAUUUCCCCAACCAUUAUGAGAACAACUAAUUAAAUUUUCUUCUUUUCCAGUACAUCUGACAUAAUUUAACCAUAUUUGUCCAGUACCAUCAGGAACUUGGUAUCCCCGAAGAGCUCUAAGGGCGUUUUUAUAACCAAGUUGACGACAAACAACGUUAGCAUCAUUUAUGUCCCAACUAUAAUGACAGAUUGUUCCCCAUCGUCCAUUAUAGAGUACUUCCACACGACCAGUUCCAUUUGAACUUGAUGGUCCUCGCAACCUGACAGACACACCUGUAAAUAUUCAAUUAGAACACUAAGGACAGGUAGAAAGUGGGAUUGAAAUAUCCA